GAAUGCCACGCUUUUCAAAGUGUCUGAGUGAUAGGCACUUUCUAAAUAUGUACAGCGAUGGCCUGAUAAGCAACUAAGCGUCUGGCUUCGCGGGUUCAUGCCCGAGGCUGUGCGGUCGGGAAGGGUGGGGGCUCAGCUGAAACCUCAGCUCCUCCUUACAGGCCUGGCUUGGAAACGGUUCUGUUCACUGCUGGGGUCCCCAUUUUCCAACUUUUACUUCUGAGACUGGAAGAAGACAAGAGACACCUCCCCACCCCCUAUCCUCUGCUUCCACGCCCGCGACUCAGCCCAGGUGACCCAAACGGCUGAGUCAACUUGGCGCAAUCGGAGCGUCCCCAUUGCGCCGGCCGCCCCCAGCCCCCUUCGCCCCUCGCUUGGCCCCACAAUGCGCCCUUGUGCAGCGCCUGCAGUCAGGCCGGGGAUUUGGCGCAGGGAUGGGGGGAAUAUUCGUCAGAUAUUUAAAACAGAGCCGAGAGAACAAAGCAGGCCUUUGUGCAGUGAGGCGGCCCGGGAGCUGGGAGCCGCCGGCCCCCGAGCACGGUGCUGGGCCAGGCGAAUGCGCAUGCGCGGGGCGACCUGCGAGCUCGGGUUCCGGGCCGGCUUCUACCCAGCUCAAUUACCUGGUGGUCACAAGAAAGCAAAGGGAUUUUUAUGUGACAUCAUCUUGGCAAGAAGCUCCCUUACCAACCUUGACCUCCAGGUCUCCAUGGCAAUUGCUGCUGGGACAUCAUUGGCACCAGAUUGUGUCCCCUAAAGGCCACACUGCAGCAAGGGCAGAUAAACAAUUUCAUGGCAA